rnacentral:rRNA from 1 species
GAUGAACGCUGGCGGCGUGCCUAAUACAUGCAAGUCGAGCGAACGGACGAGAAGCUUGCUUCUCUGAUGUUAGCGGCGGACGGGUGAGUAACACGUGGAUAACCUACCUAUAAGACUGGGAUAACUUCGGGAAACCGGAGCUAAUACCGGAUAAUAUUUUGAACCGCAUGGUUCAAAAGUGAAAGACGGUCUUGCUGUCACUUAUAGAUGGAUCCGCGCUGCAUUAGCUAGUUGGUAAGGUAACGGCUUACCAAGGCAACGAUGCAUAGCCGACCUGAGAGGGUGAUCGGCCACACUGGAACUGAGACACGGUCCAGACCCCUACGGGAGGCAGCGGUAGGGAAUCUUCCGCAAUGGGCGAAAGCCUGACGGAGCAACGCCGCGUGAGUGAUGAAGGUCUUCGGAUCGUAAAACUCUGUUAUUAGGGAAGAACAUAUGUGUAAGUAACUGUGCACAUCUUGACGGUACCUAAUCAGAAAGCCACGGCUAACUACGUG